CCUCAUCUCGUUUAGGUCUUUUGGCGGCAGCACCAACGCACAACAAAGCGCGACAGGCCAGAGGUCUGCCGACAUCCCCAUCAAACGCAAGCACCACACAUUUUCUCGACGGCGUCACAGACGCGCAAUGUCUUGGCCCGGAGGCCCAUGUCCUGAAACGUCGGUGCCGAGGCACCACAAAGGGAAACCGAGCCGGAAACUGACCAAACCACCAGUACACCACAACACCUCGCCACGGGCACACCGCCCUCCACCCGCCCCACCAGCGAACUAGACCGACCCGACAAACAGGCACGCGUGCGCCCGGAGGCGAACAGGCGCACCAGCCGCCCGGGCGCCCGGGCAACAGCCGCCCAGGCUAUAUGAGCGUAUCAUAGUGGAAAUCCCUGCAUUGUGUUCUAAUAACGCGUAUUUGGAAGAGAGGGGAGCGUACUGGGUACCCCUGAUGGGGGUAGACGUGGGGCCAUAUGGCUCGCCUGCAUCACCUGUCUACCAAUUUGCAGUUAGUCCCCUUCCUGAUGCUGCAGGACUCAGCCCUUUUUCAGCUAUACAAAGCUGACACCCCUUGUCACCCCUAUGUUGGAGAAUACGUUGUGCAGGGGGGGAAACAGCAGGGGAUGCGGGACGACAUGGGGGGCCGUGCCUGCUGUGGGAUGCCGUGCCUUGCAGUGCUCGUAUCUUCCAUCUACACUGUAGAAAUGUGCCCCAAAUCCGCCGAAGGUGGAGAAAAAUUUUGGGGUUUGGGUGCCGCGCAUCUAUGCAGGUGUAGACGUUUUUGGCCGGUUUGGGCGCAAAAAUGGGGGAAGCGUAGACGUUUUGGGGGGCUUGGGGGCUUAAGUGUAGAUGCCGCGGCCAGGGUCAUCUACGCAGGUGUAGAUGCCAGGUGCCUCAGGGCAUCUACAAGAUACGAGCACUGGUGCCUUGCAUGCAUGGGCUGCAACAAGUGAGCCUGAAGCUGUAACGCCAGCGGUAAGGCACUCCCAUGCAUCAUGGCUCAUUAACGAGGCUCUGCAGAUAGUUAGGAUACGGGUGCCGUUCGUAGCAUGCCAGUUCAGGGACCGGUAGGCAAGAGGUUAUGCCCGUCGGGUAGUCCCGGGUGUUGGGUUGUGAGUGCCUGGGCGGCUGUUGCCCGUGCGCGGUGCGCCCGGGCAGCUGGUGGGCCUGUUCGCCUCCGGGCGCGCGCGUGGCCUGUUUGGUGGGUCGGUCUAGUUUGCUGGUGGGGCGGGUGGAGGGCGGUGUGCCCAUGGCGAGGUGUGCUGGUGGUGUGGUCAAGUUCCGGCUUGGUUUCCCUUUGUGGUGCCUCGGCACAGACGUUUCCAGACGUGGGCCUUCGGGCCAAGACAUUGCGCGUCUCUGAAAAUGAGUGGUGCUCGCGUUUGAUGGGGAUGUCGGCAGACCUCUGGCCUGUCGCGCCUUGUUGUGCGUGGGUGCUGCCGCCAAAAGACCUAAACAAGAUGAGGGGUGUUACCAGGGGGGGGGGGGGGGUAAGGAUGCCGCAGACAUACCCCACCCUUCAAAUUGAUAGAGCUUGACGAGAGCGUUCAGAAUCCGCUUUCAGAAUUUUGAUCAGGGUAGUAAUUGCGGAGAUAUGGGCCCCCAAAGUUUCGUCACAGUGUGCCGGAAACUUUCGUCUGGGCCUCAUAAGACAGCAGGGCAAGCCCAGACCGUUGCCCAAAGCAUGUAAUGGAUGCUUUUAACGGCUGGGAAACGUCAGGAGCCUACCAGAAGGCGAAGGGCUACUGCCCGUCAACACAUGUCGGGUUGGGAUGUUGGGGUGCGACACGUCUCGCCUGACCAGAACGUGCCACAAGUCGCGGACCGGUGCUUGCGCGCCGGAGGAAAACGCAUGUGUAUGUCCCAUGCGUAGGUAAGACUCGUAAGCGUGCUUUACACGGGUGCAACUGAACGGCCGCAAGAUGUUCACAACAUGUCGACAACAUGGCUGUGGUCAAGACGCGCCCGACGAACUUUCCGUGUUUACAUGUUAAUAGAGCUCGCUGAAAGCAGUCAUUUGACACCAUCCUGGAAGAAAACAGAGGGGAUUUAGGGGGUGUACGGCACGGUAAGGCACGGUCGGUCGUCGGUCAGGGGGGGUCAGGAGGUUUUGCGGGGUGGGGUCUGGAACUAUUGUUCAUAAACCCCCCCUGGUGAUACAUGGCGGUGGGGCUUUGGCGGGCUUCGGCUUGGCUUCGACUCAUGUGCGUAACACUAUGAAGGUCGGCAGCCAACCAGGGGCCGGGUGUUGUUUCUCUGGGUCGAAGAUGGCCCCUCGCGGCAUGGGUACGGCGUGCCCCCGCUUAUCGGGCUGUCCCUUCAUUUGUAAUCCGCAUCCAUGAAAACGGCUAAGACGCAUUUUUUUUUCUCAGAGAAUGGUUACAAAGGAGAAGGAAGGGGAAGGCGCAGCACCACAACGGCACACAUCCUGCAAAGCGAGCAAGCAGAACACCAGGGACAACCGCACAAGCCACUGAAACCCAAGAGCACCCCUCCGGGGCAAAGCAAGGGCAGACCAGAAAGGCGAAGCAACCGCCAAACUCACAGAGAAGGAAAAAGGAAAGAAAGCGCACCAGCCCAAACCACC
rnacentral:lncRNA from 1 species